rnacentral:rRNA from 1 species
GACGAACGCUGGCGGCGUGCCUAAUACAUGCAAGUAGAACGCUGAAGAGAGGAGCUUGCUCUUCUUGGAUGAGUUGCGAACGGGUGAGUAACGCGUAGGUAACCUGCCUGGUAGCGGGGGAUAACUAUUGGAAACGAUAGCUAAUACCGCAUAAAAUUGAUUAUUGCAUGAUAAUUAAUUGAAAGAUGCAAUUGCAUCACUACCAGAUGGACCUGCGUUGUAUUAGCUAGUUGGUGAGGUAACGGCUCACCAAGGCGACGAUACAUAGCCGACCUGAGAGGGUGAUCGGCCACACUGGGACUGAGACACGGCCCAGACUCCUACGGGAGGCAGCAGUAGGGAAUCUUCGGCAAUGGGGGGAACCCUGACCGAGCAACGCCGCGUGAGUGAAGAAGGUUUUCGGAUCGUAAAGCUCUGUUGUAAGAGAAGAACGGGUGUGAGAGUGGAAAGUUCACACUGUGACGGUAUCUUACCAGAAAGGGACGGCUAACUACGUGCCAGCAGCCGCGGUAAUACGUAGGUCCCGAGCGUUGUCCGGAUUUAUUGGGCGUAAAGCGAGCGCAGGCGGUUAGAUAAGUCUGAAGUUAAAGGCUGUGGCUUAACCAUAGUAUGCUUUGGAAACUGUUUAACUUGAGUGCAGAAGGGGAGAGUGGAAUUCCAUGUGUAGCGGUGAAAUGCGUAGAUAUAUGGAGGAACACCGGUGGCGAAAGCGGCUCUCUGGUCUGUAACUGACGCUGAGGCUUGAAAGCGUGGGGAGCAAACAGGAUUAGAUACCUUGGUAGUCCACACCGUAAACGAUGAGUGCUAGGUGUUAGGCCCUUUCCGGGGCUUAGUGCCGCAGCUAACGCAUUAAGCACUCCGCCUGGGGAGUACGACCGCAAGGUUGAAACUCAAAGGAAUUGACGGGGGCCCGCACAAGCGGUGGAGCAUGUGGUUUAAUUCGAAGCAACGCGAAGAACCUUACCAGGUCUUGACAUCCCUCUGACCGCUCUAGAGAUAGAGUUUUCCUUCGGGACAGAGGUGACAGGUGGUGCAUGGUUGUCGUCAGCUCGUGUCGUGAGAUGUUGGGUUAAGUCCCGCAACGAGCGCAACCCCUAUUGUUAGUUGCCAUCAUUCAGUUGGGCACUCUAGCGAGACUGCCGGUAAUAAACCGGAGGAAGGUGGGGAUGACGUCAAAUCAUCAUGCCCCUUAUGACCUGGGCUACACACGUGUUACAAUGGCUGGUACAACGAGUCGCAAGCCGGUGACGGCAAGCUAAUCUCUGAAAGCCAGUCUCAGUUCGGAUUGUAGGCUGCAACUCGCCUACAUGAAGUCGGAAUCGCUAGUAAUCGCGGAUCAGCACGCCGCGGUGAAUACGUUCCCGGGCCU